AAUAGGGUGGCUGAAGUUUAGGUGAUAAAUUGUAAAUUUAUUUAUGGUAUAAUAUACCCCCUAUUA
rnacentral:tRNA from 1 species